rnacentral:misc_RNA from 1 species
AAAUAUUGCACUAGAAGCUCCUCAUCGGUAGGGUAGAACCGAAAACCCGGUGGUAAGCUCAAUUGAGCAAGAGGAUCAGUUUCUUCAACUCCCAUUUUCAGGCCGCAAUUUGCAAUCUUAAGACAGAUGAAAGCAAAGAGAAAUGUUUGUCUGGGUAAAGAGAAAAUGGGACUACAAUUUUCUCUCCUUUUUCCUUUUUUU